UAAGUUAAUUUGCAUCACCUGUGUUUGUCAGUGCUGCAGCAAGACACAGCACAUGGACAGAAACCUCUCCCAAAGAUCCUGCUGAUGAGCCUUUUUCCUCCUCAUGAGUGUUCCUGAUCUGAUGGGGUUCUCCCAGCUGCUGCAGGUCAACACAUGCACCAACACACUUAAAUGAGGCGAUCAGACCUGCGUUACCAUGGAUAAGAUGUUCCUGAUCCUGGGAAGACACACAUUUACUGACAAUCACCUACAGACGGAGCCGCUCCUUCCUAAGUGAGCACCACCAGCUGUUUCCAUGAAACAGACAGGCCACCAUGACGGUUUCUCACAUUAAAUCAGUGUUGAAGUGUAAAUUUGGAAAGAAAACGGACAACUUUGCAGCAUUGGGUUGAGGAAAGCGAACUGCAGCACCGUCGGCACCUGCCCAACAACACUUCACCCAACAACCCAACACAAAUCCAGGGUCGACUUUCUGGCUUUGGGCGCAGAAGUCAAGCCAACUCUCGAUUGGAAGCAGCUGCUUCAAGUCAAAGGCGAGAGGGGCGGCGACAUGUCAGGUGGGCAAGUUCUCUUUUCUGAAAGUUUAUUUCAGUAAUCUGUGGGUGAGAAGAAGUUCCUCUUCUAUUGGGGAAGCAUCUUGUUUCUGUCUCUUGUCCUGAAUCCUCAGCUGGGACAGCAUCUCCUCGUCCGGGUUAUGAGUCCUGAAAGAGAUGCAGAAAGAGAAUUUUUAUGACUUGCAUUGUAAACUUUGUACAACCUACUUUACUCUCCUUAAACAGGUAAAUGGGUCUUCAAUGUAGAAGUGAGCCUGACAAGCUGAGUCCAAUUUGACCUAGUUUGUCCUGAAGUGGCCACCGUACAGAGGACAAUUCCUAUUGAGUUAACUAAAAACUUGGCCUGUCCUGUGGCGCCACCCUCAGGACAAACGGUUUCUCACUAGAUGUAAAGAUCUAAGAACAACGUUAUUUUCUGGAGUGAAACGAACUCUACAGCUUCACAUUAUCUACUACGGCUCAACUCAUAUGUGGCCUGUCGUACCGUUUCCUGCUCACUGUGACUGCCGGUGUCACAGUUGAGGCUUCAGACGAAAAGGACUGAGGUUUGUCGGCUUCCUCUGGCAAAUUGCUGAGGACAGUUAGCUGGAAGUCGUCAUCCAUAGAGAUGUAUGGAGCCAACAUGUCCAGAUCCAUCCCAUCCAUGUCCUGAGAAAAGACAGGAAAUUAAAGUCAGAGACACAAUGGUUCGAUGUAACAGUUACACACAUGGACAAGAUGUCCACCUCUAUAUUUACUGUAUCCUUGCAAAAACAACUUCCAAAGUUGUGCAACAAACUGAUCUUCAGUUUUGUUUGACCAAAAUUUAUCUUUUUCAAAAACAUUUUAAAUAAAAAUUGAACGUUCA